UAGAGUUUGGAGGAAGAAGGAUACAAUGUGACCUUGAUACUUUUGAUGUCUCCAGCUUCAGGCAAGUUGCAUGGCUUCUCCUGGACUUUGAAAGCAUGGGCCAAGGGGUGAAAGGGCUUUCACAGGGAACCCCGACAGAGCAAAGACAAAGAAGUGUGAAUGAACAUGCCACGUUCUGAAGGUUGCUCAAACUUCUUCCCAGGCAAAGAAAUGGACUUUGGGCUCUGCUCUGGAACUAGCAUUCUGGAAUUUCAGGCCUGGUGUGGAAGUGGUAAGGGCAUAGGGAUUGGCUGUGGGACACGGAAAAAUUGGAAAUAAAGGCAGUAUCUUGAGAAAUAAGUUAUGGAGGAACAUAUGCUGGAUUCAUUUCUGUGUUCAAAAGACACAAAAAUAAGAAUGAAGUCGGAGACUAAAAGCCAGAGCACACAUGUUAGAGAGCUUUUAAGGGCACCAAGCUGAUUUCAACCAGGAUAUUACAGAGCAAAUAUUUCUUUAGAGGAGCAAUGAACGAUAUGGAUGGAGUCAGCUAAAGAAUUGUAGUUACCUCAGUCUCGUGGCAACCAAACUUCCAAACUUCUUCCAACUUCACCGUGCACACAGAACACCAAGCAAUCUUGUUAAAAUGUGGAUUCUGAUUCAGUAGGUCUGAGAUGGAGCCUGAGAUGCUGAAUUUCUCACAAUCUCCUAGGCGAUGCCAGUGCUACUGGUCCUCGAACCUUGCUUCGAGUGGUAAUGAUACAGACCAUGUUUGGGCUGCAGGAAGACAGUGAAGAGAACAGUGAUCUGGGACUAUGUUCAACAAGGCUGUGUGGGUUCCAAAUAACUUCCUGGUCUUCAUGUAUGGGUAUGAAAGCAUAGAUGUCUCCUUACUAGCCUCCUCCUUGCCAUCCCGCUCUGACUGCAAGAGGUCCUGAACUUACCCAGGGAGCAAAAUAAAAGCUGAAGGCCUCUGGAUUAAGGUAAUGAUGGCAACACCUAUACCCAGUCAUGGAUUUUAUACAGAAAGGCUGGAGAGCCUGCCCGGAAGCCCUCCCACCCUGCCAAUUGGAUCAUGUUCUAGUCUCGGGUUGAGUUCCAUGGGAGCUUGAGGAUCCAGACUUCAGUUCAGAUCUCCAGUCAGUGGAAUAAUGGAUGUCACUGUCGGCUCUAGAACACAUCUCUGUGCCUCUAUCUUCAUGAAUGAAAUGAUUUAUUGCGAAACUCUAGUGAGGUUAUUGUGAACAUCAAAAGGCAGUGUAAGCUGUUGUUAAAUGUAUGCGACUUUAAGAUAGAACACUUUUCGAUAAUGAUGUAUCAAUGUAGGCUCAUCCAUUAUAACAAAUGUACCACUCUGGGGGAAGACGCUGAUGAUGAAGGAGACUGUGCAUGUGUGGAGGCAAGGGAUAGAUGUGGGAAACCUCUGUACUUUCCUCCCAGUUUUGCUGUUAACCUAAAACUGCUCUAAAAACUACAGUUUUAUAGUUCAGUAUU